GAUGAACGCUAGCGGCAGGCUUAACACAUGCAAGUCGAGGGGUAGAGGAAGCUUGCUUCCUUGAGACCGGCGCACGGGUGCGUAACGCGUAUACAAUCUACCUUUUACAGAGGGAUAGCCCCAGAGAAAUUUGGAUUAAUACCUCAUAGUAUUUUCGGAUCGCAUGAUUUGAUUAUUAAAGUUCCAACGGUAAAAGAUGAGUAUGCGUCCAUUAGCUAGAUGGUAAGGUAACGGCUUACCAUGGCAAUGAUGGGUAGGGGGUCCCUGAGAGGGAGAUCCCCCCACACUGGUACUGAGACACGGACCAGACUCCUACGGGAGGCAGCAGU
rnacentral:rRNA from 1 species